rnacentral:rRNA from 1 species
AUUGAACGCUGGCGGCAUGCUUUACACAUGCAAGUCGAACGGCAGCACGGGCUUCGGCCUGGUGGCGAGUGGCGAACGGGUGAGUAAUAUAUCGGAACGUACCCAGAAGUGGGGGAUAACGUAGCGAAAGUUACGCUAAUACCGCAUACGAUCUAUGGAUGAAAGCAGGGGACCGCAAGGCCUUGUGCCCCUGGACCGUCCGAUAUCUGAUUAGCUAGUUGGUGAGGUAAAGGCUCACCAAGGCGACGAUCAGUAGCUGGUCUGAGAGGACGACCAGCCACACUGGAACUGAGACACGGUCCAGACUCCUACGGGAGGCAGCAGUGGGGAAUUUUGGACAAUGGGCGCAAGCCUGAUCCAGCAAUGCCGCGUGAGUGAAGAAGGCCUUCGGGUUGUAAAGCUCUUUUGUCAGGGAAGAAACGGUAGAGGCUAAUAUCCUUUGCUAAUGACGGUACCUGAAGAAUAAGCACCGGCUAACUACGUG